CAUGAAUACGACAACAAAAGCAAUUAUAGCACACAUGUGAUAGAAAAAUAAGGUGAAGGUGGAACAUAUCGGUGCUCUUCAUUAAAACAUUCAUUUUUAUUUGGUAGAACAUUACUAAUCAAUACACUCUCCAUUAUAUGCUCAAUUUGAUUCAGAGAAGUAGGCAUUAAAAGAAGAUUUAGCAUCUCCAACUUGCUUCUUGUAUGCUGAAUGAUCAUGAAGCCACACGCUUUACAAAUUUUGAUUUAACUCUAUGAUCAACAAUUUGAAACUAAAAUGCAGCAUCCAUACCCAUGGAUGUUGAAAUUAGAGUGACAAAUUCUUCCUUUUCUGACUUUAGAGGAUCCAAAUAAAGAAUCAAAUAUUUAUUCCAUACCAUUACAAUCAUUAUGUAAUGGAGGUUAAAAGUCACUUCCUUUAUGUAAUAUUAAAAGAGCGGCGUCUUCUAUGAGUUUUAUUCCAAUAGGAAACUGUAGAAAACAAUGCCCUCUUCAGCAUAGUUAUAGCAUGUCCACCUUCUACAAGAAGCAUAGAACCAUAAAAUGGUUGUAGAAAACACAUCACAACUGUUGUUGCAAACAUACUGGUAGAUUUAACAAGCAUAAAAG
rnacentral:misc_RNA from 1 species